AUUGAACGCUGGCGGCAGGCCUAACACAUGCAAGUCGAGCGAGCGGCGGACGGGUGAGUAAUGUCUGGGAAACUGCCUGAUGGAGGGGGAUAACUACUGGAAACGGUAGCUAAUACAGCAUACCAUCAGAUGUGCCAGAGGGGAUUAGCGAGUAGGUGGGGUAAUGGCUCACCUAGGCGACGAUCCCUGGCUGGUCUGAGAGGUUGAGCAGCCACACUGGAACUGAGAAACGGUCCAGACUCCUACGGGAGGCAGCAGUGGGGAAUAUUGCACAAUGGGAGCAAGCCUGAUGCAGCCAUGCCGCGUGUAUGAAGAAGGCCUUCGGGUUGUAAAGUACUUUCAGCGGGGAGGCGUUACCCGCAGAAGAAGCACCGGCUAACUCCGUGCCAGCAGCCGCGGUAAUAC
rnacentral:rRNA from 1 species